CGGCUUUUUGUAAAUUCUCUAAAGUUUUGUAUAAGCCCUUGCAAUAUUGAAAAGAUUAUAUUAUAAUAAUAUCACCUUAAUUUGGUCGUGUGCCGUGCGGGUCCUGUGCGACAGAGCUCCACGAACCAUGUCAGGCGGGGAACCGAGCAGCAUUAAGUGGUCAGCCUGUGCGCCACAGUCCGCCUGCACGGUGCAUGACCAAGUUAAGGUCUUUAUUUUUGUUAUAAUGAAGCCG
rnacentral:SRP_RNA from 2 species